GACGAACGCUGGCGGCGUGCUUAACACAUGCAAGUCGAACGGUGAAGCGCCUUCCUUUUUGGUGGGUGUGGAUGAGUGGCGAACGGGUGAGUAACACGUGAGUAACCUGCCCCCUUCUUCUGGAUAACCGCAUGAAAGUGUGGCUAAUACGGGAUAUUCUGGGUCUGUCGCAUGAUGGGUCUGGGAAAGAUAUUGUUUCGGUGGGGGAUGGGCUCGCGGCCUAUCAGCUUGUUGGUGGGGUGAUGGCCUACCAAGGCGGUGACGGGUAGCCGGCCUGAGAGGGUGGACGGUCACACUGGGACUGGGACACGGCCCAGACUGCUACGGGAGGCAGCAGUGUGGAAUAUUGCACAAUGGGCGCAAGCCUGAUGCAGCGACGCCGCGUGAGGGAUGGAGGCCUUCGGGUUGUGAACCUCUUUCGCCAGUGAAGCAGGCCUGCCUCGUUUGUGGGUGGGUUGACGGUAGCUGGAUAAGAAGCGCCGGCUAACUACGU
rnacentral:rRNA from 1 species